rnacentral:lncRNA from 1 species
UGAUGUCAAAAAAUAAUAAUAAUUGUUUGGCAAACAUCCUGAAAAGAUAAUAUUCUCAAAAAUGUUACUUUUUUACAGAGUUUAAUAAAACUCUUGAUGUUUGCCUCUAUUGACCCAAUUUAAUCAAACUUUGUAUGUCCUGCUUUUAUUAAAUUUUCAAUAAAAAAAUGUUGCAGCUGGUGACCAAUGGUUGUAAUUUAGGAAUGAUAUCUACCUAAGAUGUGUAAUUUGGUGGUGUUGCUGCCAACCAUACUAUCACAGUUCAACAGGUAUGGUACUUGAUCAUGUAUAAUAGUGUCAGAAUCAUCUUCAAAGACAUUUUGGUUGUUUUGUAAAUGGAAGGAGGUUGUCAGGGCCCUGAAGUCACUAAUGGGUUUCAUCUGCCCUGAGCAGCCUCACCUGUACAUCCCUGCCCGUGGCCUGGCUGCCUCAGUUGAGCUCAGGACUUGGACUGGGCUGCACGUUGAGGUAUGUGAGUACUCCUAAGUUCGUGUUUGGGUUUUUUGGAUCAACCAGAGAUCUGGAUCAUUCCACUUGCUGCCUCUGUUGAGCUCCAGGCUGUUGUUGGCCAUGCUGUGUCACCUACACUCAGGCCAAAGAACAAACCUGAAGCAACUUCUCAAGGGCACGCAGCAACUGGUGGAAGAGCUCUGCAGUUGGAUGUCAGAUUUGUUUACCUUAGGCAUCUUCCAUCUUCGCCACCACUGCUGAAUCAGUCUUCCUUUAUGAAGCACGAUGUCCCCUUUGCAGUAGGCUGGAAAUGUGAGACGUGCUUAGGAGCAGUGCCUGGCCUGGGAAAAAGAAAUGCACCCCUCCCACCUAAGUACCACUGCAGUCCAGGUUCUCUUUGUUCUAAAUACAUAUUCUUUUACUGUUUACUAUCCCUUUUCCCCUCUGAGUUGGAACAUUUGUUUAAAAAAGUCUUCUGUUGCUGGGAGCUGAACCAGACACCAUGUCUACUGUAUUGGCUCAGAAUGAGAUUUGAGCAGCAUCUUGCUGCAUGCUCCCUAAGGAUGGGUAAAAGCAAAUGCCAUGAGUAUAAAAAGACGAGGCUUCUGUAAGGUGAGUCUUUC